AUGGUGGAUAUCAUGAAGAAGAGGGACAUGUUUGUUGCGUUUGAAGGUGUACUUAUGAGUGCAAGGGAGCCUCGAGUAUUUGGGUUUGUCCAGUACUUCAAUCCUGGUGAUGCUGCAGAUGAAAAAUACUACAUGGACGGACAGGAUGCGCGCCCAAUGACGUUGUGGAGCUAUCAACUCCCACCCAGAUCGCCACAGGGAACAGCGAAGCAUCCUCCCUUCUCCCUUCCCGUUGCAUCUCCGCCUGGUGGAUUACAACAUCUUUACCUGAUAAACAUGGAAUAUACAAGAGGAAGGAGCAACUGCAGCAAGCAGUGA
rnacentral:rRNA from 1 species